UUGGAGGGCAAGUCUGGUGCCAGCAGCCGCGGUAAUUCCAGCUCCAAUAGCGUAUAUUAAAGUUGUUGCAGUUAAAAAGCUCGUAGUUGAAUUUCGGGGUUCGUACGUUGGUCGGGCUUUUUGGUCUGUACUGGCGUAAUGGAUUCCUACCUUCUGAAUGACCGGCAUGCCAUUAAUUUGGUGCGCCGGGGAAGCAGGACUGUUACCUUGAAAAAAUUAGAGUGCUUAAAGCAGGCUAGUGCCUGAAUACAUUAGCAUGGAAUAAUGAAAUAGGACGUUUGAUUCUAUUUUGUUGGUUUCUAGGAUCGACGUAAUGAUUAAUAGGGAUAGUUGGGGGCAUUAGUAUUCAAUUGUCAGAGGUGAAAUUCUUGGAUUUAUUGAAGACUAACUACUACGAAAGCAUUUGCCAAGGAUGUUUUCAUUAAUCAAGAACGAAAGUUAGGGGGAUCGAAGACGAUCAGAUACCGUCGUAGUCUUAACCAUAAACUAUGCCGACUAGGUAUCGGACGAUGUUAAUUUUUAAUGACUCGUUCGGCGCCUUUACGGGAAACCAAAGU
rnacentral:rRNA from 1 species